AUUGCUACCUCCCACAUCGCAUCUGCGGAACCACUUCUAUGGUCCCUUUUUCCGCAGAUGCAAAAAUACCAGAUACCAGCAGACAUAAUUAUGCAAAAAAGUCCCAAAACGCUCUGUUUAACCACUCGAAGACGCAAACAUAAGUAGGGCCCCAAUGAGAAAUGCAAAACAAAAACAGGUCACUCAAACAAUAUCUACAAAGUCCAAUCACUUGAAGAAAAAACAUGAAUUUUGAAGACUUUUUGAAUUUGUGGACAAAGACAACAAUCUACAAAUGGAAGAAUUCACAAAUUUAGAGAAAAGAUAGCACCAUGUAGUUUAGUCAUCCUUU
rnacentral:lncRNA from 1 species